rnacentral:rRNA from 1 species
AUACAGAGGGUGCGAGCGUUAAUCGGAAUUACUGGGCGUAAAGCGCGCGUAGGCGGCUUGGUCAGUCGGAUGUGAAAGCCCCGGGCUCAACCUGGGAAUGGCAUUCGAUACUGCCAGGCUAGAGUAUGAGAGAGGGAAGUGGAAUUUCCGGUGUAGCGGUGAAAUGCGUAGAUAUCGGAAAGAACACCAGUGGCGAAGGCGACUUCCUGGCCCAAUACUGACGCUGAGGCGCGAAAGCGUGGGGAGCGAACAGGAUUAGAAACCCUAGUAGUCC